GAUGAACGCUGGCGGUAUGCUUAACACAUGCAAGUCGAACGGUCACUUCGGUGAUAGUGGCGGACGGGUGAGUAACGCGUGAGAAUCUGUCUUCAGGUCGGGGACAACAGUUAGAAAUGACUGCUAAUACCGGAUGUGCAUUUGGGUGAAAGAUUUAUUGCCUGAAAAAGAGCUCGCGUCAGAUUAGCUAGUAGGUGGUGUAAGAGACUACCUAGGCUCCGAUCUGUAGCUGGUCUGAGAGGACGAUCAGCCACACUGGAACUGAGACACGGUCCAGACUCCUACGGGAGGCAGCAGUGGGGAAUUUUCCGCAAUGGGCGAAAGACUGACGGAGCAAUACCGCGUGAGGGACGAAGGCUUUUGGGUCGUAAACCUCUUUUCUCAAGGAAGAUGAUGACGGUACUUGAGGAAUAAGCAUCGGCUAACUCUGUG
rnacentral:rRNA from 1 species